GCAGCGCUCCCGCAGCACGCAGGGGACCCGCUGGCAGGGGAUGCACGCAGCGGCUCCGGCUCUCCUGCUGCCGGUUCAGCUCACGGCGUUCCUGCGGGUGACGAGGAGGAAUGGGAUGCAAGGUGUCUCUUUUAGGUCCCUGACUUUAAUGUGAUUGUUCUCAUACAGAAGCCUCUGGAUGCUAUGAGAAGAGCUGGCUCUAGGCGAAGGCCAGCAUGCAGGCUAGAGGAGCCUCGCAUCGCAUCAGGUGGUCUAAUGCUGCAACCAUGCAUGUAGGACGUGAAAUGCAGACUCCAGUCUCCAUGUAACAGCAGCACGGGUAACGGUUCUGUUCUGUGCCUGGAAGAAAGCACUGCACGUUUGUGUCAUCCCAGCUACAGGUGGGAAAACCCUAGCAAACUCUCCAGUUACAGGUGUUAUGGAAUUACUGAGAGAACCUUUUAGCAAAGCUGCCUCCCAGGCAGCGGAAGCAUUUUAUCCAAUGUGCUAAAAAUUAUUACAGCCAACACUUCCCUUUGC